rnacentral:rRNA from 1 species
AUUGAACGCUGGCGGCAGGCCUAACACAUGCAAGUCGAGCGGAUGAAGGGAGCUUGCUCCUGGAUUCAGCGGCGGACGGGUGAGUAAUGCCUAGGAAUCUGCCUGGUAGUGGGGGAUAACGUCCGGAAACGGGCGCUAAUACCGCAUACGUCCUGAGGGAGAAAGUGGGGGAUCUUCGGACCUCACGCUAUCAGAUGAGCCUAGGUCGGAUUAGCUAGUUGGUGGGGUAAAGGCCUACCGAGGCGACGAUCCGUAACUGGUCUGAGAGGAUGAUCAGUCACACUGGAACUGAGACACGGUCCAGACUCCUACGGGAGGCAGCAGUGGGGAAUAUUGGACAAUGGGCGAAAGCCUGAUCCAGCCAUGCCGCGUGUGUGAAGAAGGUCUUCGGAUUGUAAAGCACUUUAAGUUGGGAGGAAGGGCAGUAAGUUAAUACCUUGCUAUUUUGACGUUACCAACAGAAUAAGCACCGGCUAACUUCGUG